rnacentral:rRNA from 1 species
CUAAUACAUGCAAGUCGAACGCUUCUUUUCCCACCGGAGCUUGCUCCACCGGGAAAAGAGGAGUGGCGAACGGGUGAGUAACACGUGGGUAACCUGCCCAUCAGAAGGGGAUAACACUUGGAAACAGGUGCUAAUACCGUAUAACAAUCGAAACCGCAUGGUUUCGUUUUGAAAGGCGCUUUACGGUGCCGCUGAUGGAUGGACCCGCGGUGCAUUAGCUAGUUGGUGAGGUAACGGCUCACCAAGGCCACGAUGCAUAGCCGACCUGAGAGGGUGAUCGGCCACAUUGGGACUGAGACACGGCCCAAACUCCUACGGGAGGCAGCAGUAGGGAAUCUUCGGCAAUGGACGAAAGUCUGACCGAGCAACGCCGCGUGAGUGAAGAAGGUUUUCGGAUCGUAAAACUCUGUUGUUAGAGAAGAACAAGGGUGAGAGUAACUGUUCACCCCUUGACGGUAUCUAACCAGAAAGCCACGGCUAACUACGUGCCAGCAGCCGCGGUAAUACGUAGGUGGCAAGCGUUGUCCGGAUUUAUUGGGCGUAAAGCGAGCGCAGGCGGUUUCUUAAGUCUGAUGUGAAAGCCCCCGGCUCAACCGGGGAGGGUCAUUGGAAACUGGGAGACUUGAGUGCAGAAGAGGAGAGUGGAAUUCCAUGUGUAGCGGUGAAAUGCGUAGAUAUAUGGAGGAACACCAGUGGCGAAGGCGGCUCUCUGGUCUGUAACUGACGCUGAGGCUCGAAAGCGUGGGGAGCAAACAGGAUUAGAUACCCUGGUAGUCCACGCCGUAAACGAUGAGUGCUAAGUGUUGGAGGGUUUCCGCCCUUCAGUGCUGCAGCUAACGCAUUAAGCACUCCGCCUGGGGAGUACGACCGCAAGGUUGAAACUCAAAGGAAUUGACGGGGGCCCGCACAAGCGGUGGAGCAUGUGGUUUAAUUCGAAGCAACGCGAAGAACCUUACCAGGUCUUGACAUCCUUUGACCACUCUAGAGAUAGAGCUUCCCCUUCGGGGGCAAAGUGACAGGUGGUGCAUGGUUGUCGUCAGCUCGUGUCGUGAGAUGUUGGGUUAAGUCCCGCAACGAGCGCAACCCUUAUUGUUAGUUGCCAUCAUUUAGUUGGGCACUCUAGCAAGACUGCCGGUGACAAACCGGAGGAAGGUGGGGAUGACGUCAAAUCAUCAUGCCCCUUAUGACCUGGGCUACACACGUGCUACAAUGGGAAGUACAACGAGUCGCGAAGUCGCGAGGCUAAGCUAAUCUCUUAAAGCUUCUCUCAGUUCGGAUUGUAGGCUGCAACUCGCCUACAUGAAGCCGGAAUCGCUAGUAAUCGCGGAUCAGCACGCCGCGGUGAAUACGUUCCCGGGCCUUGUACACACCGCCCGUCACACCACGAGAGUUUGUAACACCCGAAGUCGGUGAGGUAACCUUUUGGAGCCAGCCGCCUAA